UCCGCCAUAGCUCAGUUGGUAGUAGCGUAUGACUGUUAAUCAUGAUGUCGUAGGUUCGAGUCCUACUGGCGGAG
rnacentral:tRNA from 1 species